rnacentral:rRNA from 1 species
CCUACUCUCGUGAGAGUAGCUGAAGGUACUAUACGAAUAAGCACCGGCUAACUCCGUGCCAGCAGCCGCGGUAAUACGGAGGGUGCAAGCGUUAUCCGGAUUUAUUGGGUUUAAAGGGUCCGUAGGCGGACCGAUAAGUCAGUGGUGAAAUCUCAUAGCUUAACUAUGAAACUGCCGUUGAUACUGUCGGUCUUGAGUAAAUUUGAAGUGGCUGGAAUAAGUAGUGUAGCGGUGAAAUGCAUAGAUAUUACUUAGAACACCAAUUGCGAAGGCAGGUCACUAAGAUUUAACUGACGCUGAGGGACGAAAGCGUGGGGAGCGAACAGGAUUAGAUACCCUGGUAGUCCACGCCGUAAACGAUGCUAACUCGUUUUUGGGGCGCAAGCUUCAGAGACCAAGCGAAAGUGAUAAGUUAGCCACCUGGGGAGUACGUCCGCAAGGAUGAAACUCAAAGGAAUUGACGGGGGCCCGCACAAGCGGUGGAUUAUGUGGUUUAAUUCGAUGAUACGCGAGGAACCUUACCAAGACUUAAAUGGGAAAUGACAGGUUUAGAAAUAGACCCUUCUUCGGACAUUUUCCAAGGUGCUGCAUGGUUGUCGUCAGCUCGUGCCGUGAGGUGUUAGGUUAAGUCCUGCAACGAGCGCAACCCCUGUCACUAGUUGCUAACAUUCAGUUGAGGACUCUAGUGAGACUGCCUACGCAAGUAGAGAGGAAGGUGGGGAUGACGUCAAAUCAUCACGGCCCUUACGUCUUGGGCCACACACGUAAUACAAUGGCCGGUACAGAGGGCAGCUACCUAGCGAUAGGAUGCAAAUCUCGAAAGCCGGUCUCAGUUCGGAUUGGAGUCUGCAACUCGACUCUAUGAAGCUGGAAUCGCUAGUAAUCGCGCAUCAGCCAUGGCGCGGUGAAUACGUUCCCGGGCCUUGUACACACCGCCCGUCAAGCCAUGGAAGUCUGGGGUACCUGAAGUCGGUGACCGUAAAAGGAGCUGCCUUAAGGGUAAAAGCCAAU